UUGGUGAUUUGUCAUGAGCAGGUGUGGCUGGAAUGCAAGAAGGCAUCGCUUUCGCCAUAUUCACCAAGAAAAGAUGUGAAGACUUCUUCAAGUAGACAUCUCCUGCCAUGUGACACUGCUUGGCCUUAGGCAACAGUGAAUGCUUUGUGCAUUACCCAAGGGCAAAGGACUGACCAGCGCCUAAGCAAGCACAGUGCCAGCGUAACAGAUGGGCAUCCACGAGGUAGCCAAGAAGCCAUGUAUGUACAUCAAGUGUAUUUCAGAGCUGGAUUCCCAGCCAAGAACAGCUGUCUAUCCUUAGUUUAGAUGCCUAUAGUUUAGUGAGGGAUCUGCCAUUGCUAAUCCAACUUCAGAGCGCGUUUAAACUUUCAAAAACAUAUAAAUAGCUUUCCCUGCCACAGAAGGAGAGCUUUGGACCCACUUUAAGCUGAGGGAGUCGAGUGUGUAAAUGGGCUUUAGGAGAACCUUUCAGUGCCCCCACUUACCUUUCAGUAGCGGUUCAAGUGGAAACUCCAUGACAGAUGCAUUUCCCCCAAGCCAGUUCUUGGUAGAACAGGGCCAGAGGGACAGAAAGUAUCUCUCAUGAACACAAAGUACAUGAAAGUCUUGAAGCACCCAGAUAUGUGGGAAGGGUUCAAAAGCCUUUUGUGCUGAAACAUCAGCAUCAAGGGUGCCAACUUAAAUAAAAUAUUGGGGGUUGAGGAACAUAAUUGGUCUUGGAGGAUGAAACUGAUGGACUACGCAGAAUUAAAUAAACUAACGGGAAGAAUUCGAAACCGGCGGGACCAGAGAUUCACGGAAGAUUGGCGUAAAUUUAUGGACAUAUGAAAAGUAAUUGUGAUGACCAGAUUACAUUUGUAGGUUUGCGGGAAGUUUUGUGAGGGGAAUAAUUUGUAUUACUGCACUAUUGAACAAAAAGGAUAAUAUUAGUUGUGAUAAUUAAAGGCAAUAUGAAUUUAAGAAAUGCAGAAGAUAUUAUAAAUAUGGAAGAUCUACAGAGGCGCUGAUGGAAGUCCAAAAAGAUUGUAUACGAGGUGAAAUUUGGUGGAAUGUUUGUUAAACAAUAUGUUUUAAAAUAAAUAGAAAUUAUUAUAAAAAAAGGAACAUAAUCGGUCACAUGAUGUGGUGCGCCCACACUGUUUGAAUGCCCAUCAACACUGGGGAGGGUCGAAGGGACCUCGGCUGCUAGGAAUUGGCUCCUAUGAUCAGCAUGGAAAACUUGUGAUGUUAUGCAACUUAAAAGCACCAAAGGUUGUGACACAUUUCUUCUUGCAGAGCACUGAUCACUGCUUUGCAUGUGAAAGACUUAAGAUUCUAUCAGAGGAGAGAUUUGGAUCCUUGUAUCCCAGCACAGUGGUGUUCAUUUGCAAAUACCUUGGUAAGGGGGAAGGAACAUAAUGUACCAGAAGAAUCCUAGUGCUUCAAUGAUGUUUUGCUUUUUACAUUCUAUACAUUUAUUGGGAAGCUGUGCACCAAAUCAUUAAUGACUUAUUCAGUUGGUAUCUAUGUUGACAAUGUGAUUAUUAGUGUCCUUCCCAGAGACUAAUGCCCGCAGAUGUGUUAAGUGUUGAAUGUUAUUUUUGGCAGUAUUACUAUCUUUCUAUUUUGAAUAUGCCAAUUUCAUGGACAGCCUCACUUCAUAUACAUGCUCCCUAGAGUCGUGGUAAGCAUAAUUUCUGGUUCAUUUCUCAGCAGUGUGUUAAUGUUUGAAGAAACCAAACAUACCUGGGACCCAAACAGCGGCUUUCUAGAAGCUCAGUAUUACGAAAUGGAUCAAGUUUGCUAGAACAAUAAAUAUUGACUGUUGAAAAAGGCUUUAAUGAAGAAAACAAUGAUACAUUUGAGAGGUAC
rnacentral:lncRNA from 1 species